rnacentral:rRNA from 1 species
GUGUGUGAAGAAGGCCUUAUGGUUGUAAAGCACUUAAUGCGAGGAGGACUGCUACUUAGAUUCAAUACCUAGAGGAUAGUGGACGUUACUCGCAGAAUAAGCAGCCAGGCUAACUCUGUGCCAGCAGCCGCGGUAAUACAGAGGGUGCAAGCGUUAAUCGGAUUUACUGGGCGUAAAGCGCGCGUAGGCGGCUAAUUAAGUCAAAUGUGAAAUCCCCGAGCUUAACUUGGGAAUUGCAUUCGAUACUGGUUAGCUAGAGUGUGGGAGAGGAUGGUAGAAUUCCAGGUGUAGCGGUGAAAUGCGUAGAGAUCUGGAGGAAUACCGAUGGCGAAGGCAGCCAUCUGGCCUAACACUGACGCUGAGGUGCGAAAGCAUGGGGAGCAAACAGGAUUAGAUACCCUGGUAGUCCAUGCCGUAAACGAUGUCUACUAGCCGUCGGGGCCUUUGAGGCUUUAGUGGCGCAGCUAACGCGAUAAGUAGACCGCCUGGGGAGUACGGUCGCAAGACUAAAACUCACAUGCAAUUGACGGGGGCCCGCACAAGCGGUGGAGCAUGUGGUUUC